GAACAAAUAACGCAGUUACACUUACUGACGAAACACCCCUGACGUCUCCAAACUUUCCCGCCAAGUAUCCACUGAAUUUCGAAUGCACAAAUACGUACACCAGUCCAGGAGGCACAGUCACAGUUCAGUUUGAGUAUCUUGAUGUUGAGGAAGACACCAGUAGCCCCGGUGCUUGCUUUGAUUCUGUGGAGAUUUUUGAUGGAGAUUCGACAAGUUCCAACUUAAUAGUAAAACUUUGCGGAACCACUGCUCCUACACAGCCAUAUACUUCCACUGGUGAAAGCGUCACCAUCAAGUUCACUAGUGAUAAGGCCGAACCAAAAAUCGGAUUUUAUGCAAAUGUAUCCCCUGUUGAUGAAGAAACCACAACAGCAGCAACAACAACAACUGCGAAAACGACUCCAAAAACAAGAAGAGGGUGUUGCCGUAGAGGAAGAUGUAAGGGGAAAUGUAGACGGAACUGGAGGCGCACCCCAUAACAAGAAAGAUGGAUGCUGACCCUCAUUAAUUGAAUGUUAAAACAUAAAAAUGAUAAAAGAACUGAUU